GCAGCCGCGGUAAUACUGAGGGGGCUAGCGUUACUCGGAAUUACUGGGCGUAAAGCGAGCGUAGGCGGUUAAUCAAGUUGGGGGUGAAAGCCCGGGGCUCAACCCCGGAAAUGCCCUCAAAACUAGUUAACUAGAGGACGGGAGAGGGGAGUGGAACUCCCAGUGUAGAGGUGAAAUUCGUAGAUAUUGGGAAGAACACCAGUGGCGAAGGCGACUCUCUGGACCGUUUCUGACGCUAAGGCUCGAAAGCGUGGGUAGCAAACAGGAUUAGAUACCCUGGUAGUCCACGCCGUAAACGAUGAGUGCUAGACGUUGGGGGGAACGCCCUUCAGUGUCGUCGCUAACGCAUUAAGCACUCCGCCUGGGGAGUACGGUCGCAAGAUUAAAACUCAAAUGAAUUGACGG
rnacentral:rRNA from 1 species